rnacentral:rRNA from 1 species
GUGCCAGCAGCCGCGGUAAUACAGAGGGGGCCAGCGUUAUUCGGAAUUAUUGGGCGUAAAGGGCGCGUAGGCGGCCACGCGUGUCUUCCGUGAAAUCCCUCGGCUCAACCGAGGACGUGCGGAAGAAACUGCGAGGCUCGAGUCCAGAAGAGGGGGGCGGAAUUCCCAGUGUAGCGGUGAAAUGCGUAGAUAUUGGGAGGAACACCGGUGGCGAAGGCGGCCCCCUGGGCUGGUACUGACGCUGAUGCGCGAAAGCGUGGGUAGCAAACGGGAUUAGAUACCCCGGUAGUCCACGCCGUAAACGAUGGGCACUUGGUGUCGCGGGUAUCGACCCCUGCGGUGCCGAAGCUAACGCAUUAAGUGCCCCGCCUGGGGAGUACGGUCGCAAGGCUGAA